AUUACAGUUUCAAAUUCUUAUUUUAAAACAUCCAAAGCUGUAAGUUUGAGAAAUAAUUAAAACCUCAAAACACAUUGUUUUUCUUUUAAAAUUGAAAUAAUGCAGCCCCCAGCUGAGAUUUGGAGGUCUUCAUCAACACAGGAACAAAACGAACAUGUAAUCUACAGCCAUCAGUAAGAGAACUUCCUUGGAUUAUUUUUAUAGUUCUUACUUCUACUAAUGGUGAUGGUUAGUUGCCAAAGAAAAGCAUUCUUUUGGUGGUGAGCCCUGCAAAAUAAUUUCCUUUAGGGCAAUGUACUGUCAGUCCCUGACAAACCUCCAUUAAUAUACAGAGCCAUUCCAACUUGACUUUGAGGCUGAAUAAUUGGAAUGUGAAUAGUGGUUCUCUCUGAGCCAAUAAAAACUCAUGAAGAGGAAUGAGGAUGUAGCUCAGGGAUAGAGUGUCUAGGGGUUUAAGGCCUAGGAUUAUAAAACAAAGAAACCAACAAACACUUCCUCCAGAUGCAAAGGAAGAAAAGAAGAAGGCAAACACUAGACAAUAUAUUCUAGGACUUACCCACUUGAAUCAAAGUGUGAAAUAUGAUAUAUCAAGAACCAUGUAAUGUUUUGAACAACCAACAAUAAAAAAAUUAAUUAAAAAAAAAUAUAUAUAUAUAUAUUCUAGGACUUAACAUUGACCUCAAAGCAUAAAAUAGUGUGAGACCUAAGCUGAAACUGAACUAAAUACCAUGAAAAGUGAACUUGACAUUGUGUGUCUUAAUGAGUCACCUGUAGAAAUAAAAUGUAUCCCCUACCAGGGCCAACUCUCAGUCUUCUGCAAAGGGCUCAGAGGAGCUCUCUGUCCUUUCUUAAUUUGUAGCCCCUGCAACGGGUUUCUAGCAGAUUCCAGAAGGAGUUCAGGAGGGAAGAGAAAUGCUCUGGCAGGAUGGGCUUUGCACCCAUGGAACUGGGGUGGACAGCAUUGUUUGCUCUCCAGAGGAGAUGGAACGUCUGGCCUACAUCACUUCCACCCCUCCCUGAGACAAUGAUUGCAGAACAUUGCAGAAUAGUCACAGAUGGUGAAGAACCCUAAGGGCUCCUGGAGAGUGACUGUGGACUAUGGUGAACUGAGUAAAAUGGAGCCUUCUCUGCACACAGCAGUUCCCAGGAUGCAUGAAUUGGAUAGGUAUAGCCCAGACAUCUCCCCCCAGCAAAAUGUGACGUAUAUUUGGGACAAAGGAGUGCUUUGUGCACUAGUCCUUAUCCCAUGAGCUCCAAAAUAAUGUAGGGCCAGUGCUGUAUGCACCUGAAGAAGAUUCUUCUGAUGAAUGUGAGCUGACAGCCGUUGUCCUUCAAAGAAACAGCAGCCCUCAUGAGCGACAGUACACUGACUGAUCCAGCAGAGGCCCUUAGGCCAUUGACUGCCAUCGCUCCACAGCCCUCCAUAAAUGCCUUGUGGUGUGAUGCUGGGAUGGGGUAGAGCAGUCAAAGUCUAUUCCAUGCCAAAGUGCUAGUGAUACAGGGGUCCUGGGCACCCCAGGACACAAAAACAAACAAAAACACUCAAAGACUAAUCAACUCUGUUGGCAGGGCAAAAAUUUUACUUGAUGCACAGAUGUUUAAAAUAAGUGUUCAUUGCUGUUAAUGUUUUUUUGGCAGGAAAAAGAUGACUUUAAAGGUUAACUAGGUUUGUUUGAUAUCUGGGUUUUCAUGAGUAACAUAAAAUGAGUAUUAAAAAUAGAGCUCUCUGGAAAAUUUUCUGGAACUCCCAAUAAAACUGAAGGGCAAGAGGAGUGCACUAUCCUUGUUUGUGGGAGGAGCCACUGCCUCUUUUUCUCCAUUUUCCUACUUUUUUUUAUUUGGUAGCAGGUAUUGAACCCAGGGGUGCUACUGACUGCAUAACAACCUCAGCCUGUCUUAUAUUUUAUUUUGAGACACGAGUCUCACUGAGUUGCUUAGGGCUUUGCUAAGUUGUUGAGGCUGGCCUUGAAUUUGAAAUCCUUCUGCCUAGGCCUCUCAAGCUGCUGGAUUACAGGUAUGUGCCACUCUAUUUGCCUUUUCU
rnacentral:lncRNA from 1 species